rnacentral:rRNA from 1 species
AUGAUCGUCCCCUCAUCUAGUUUUGUGAUUCUCGCAGAGCAAGGUGCAUCUAGGGUUUCAUCAGAUCUCGUCUAUUUUGUUGCUGAUAUCUGUCACUCCGUCCUUGCGCUGCUGGCAAAUGACAUGUCUUCGCCAAGCAGAGUAGAAGGAGGAGUUCAAGUGAAUCCAGUAGUUGAUUGCAGUGGUCAUAAUGAUACACCAAUUGGCUCUUGUUGUCCUGGUGAGAAAGAGAAGCAGAGGAGAGCUGCAGAUGGUGCCAAGGGUGCCAAAUUUGUUAAAGUCAAGCAGCCUGCUUUACAGAAGAAUAGACUGAGUUCUGUUGCUGAGGAAGGUGGUACUCCUCGGCGGAGUCCUCGUGUUGCUUGCAUGAAGAAGAAUCUUGGUAAGAGAACUGCUGAAGCUGGUGCAAAGGAUCCUCAACGGAAGCGACCACAUGUCAGUGAAGGUCCCAACUCGGACGAUGACGACUUUGUGCUUGCUGAUUUUGUGAGGGAUGUUCAGACUGGUAGACGGAAAGACUGUGGUCCAUCUAAGAGUCAACCCAAGCGGCCCCGUGUUGAUGGCGACGAAGGUGUUGGUGCUAACUCUGGUGCGGAGGCGGAUGUUUUUCCAAAGAGGAAGAAGUCUAGUAAGAGCAAUGUAACUGAAGAUGAUGCCGAGAGAGAUGAUGCUCGACUUAACAAGACCGUACGUUUGUCGCUCCCCACUGUUUGCAAAGCUGCUUCUUUAUUGAAAGAAGCACACUGUAGUCGUGUUCGGGAUGUUGUCUUUGGUGUUGUCCUUGAAUUGACAGUAAAUAAAAAUGUGUCACGCAUUCUUAUGUGCUAUCUGAUGGGAGUGAUUGACCCUGCCACGAUGACAGUGGAAUUUGGGAAUGGCAGGGUUCUUCGAAUCAAUCAUGACGUAGUUCAUCACAUUUUGGAUUUACCUAUGGGUCAUCACACUACACCCAUGCCUGCUACUAGUGGCCAUGAUGACUCGUUCUCUGCCCUCAAGGAUGAGCUUGAAUUUGACCAUUCAAAAAGUAUAGGUGUCAAGGACUUGGUUCAGAAGCUGGAGGUGUUGGUGGAGGAAGAUGAUCAUGCGACGGUUGAUCUUGCUAUCAAGGUGUUCUUCCUGAUACUUUAUCGGAAUUUGCUGUGCCCUGAGCCUGCAGUUCGUUUGGGCAGGGUUCCUGCCAUGGUUGAGAACAUGGAUUCUGCGGCUAUGGUGCAGAUGGACUUUUGUCAGCUUGUUGUUGAUGAGUUGCAGGCAGCUUUGAGCUUCGCAAAUUUUCAGUUAUGCACACUGGAAGGCGUCAGGGAUAUUGUGUACAACCGUCCUGCUGUAGUGUUAUGUGGCAGCUCUGAUGUGGGGCCUAGCACUCAUUCUAGGUUCUAUGAGCCUAUUUGUAGCCAACUUCCUGCCUGUGAUGAUGAGCCGCCGCCUACUCGUGGUUUCACGGCUCGUCGGAUGUUUGAUAAUAGAAGCUCUUCUGAACAGACAUUUGUUGGUGGCAAAAAACACGAGGAGAUUGAUGAGCUUCUUCUGAAAGUUUUGAAGUUGACUGAAGAUUUGCCAACCUCUGGUGACAGGUUGAGGACAAUUGCUGGUUUUUUCCCUGCUGGCCAUGGCCCCCGAGAAGAAUAUAUUGUUGUUGCUCACAAUUUUGACUGUUGUGUGGUUGAAAGCUUGAAGAUUGCAGUGACGAAUAUUCAGUCUUCGUAUGCUCACUUGAAACAUUCACAUGAAGAAAAAUGUGCCCGGUAUGAGAAGGAUGCUGAGCACAUUUUAGAUGGAAUGAACCAACAGGACACUGGCGCCGACACUGAUAAUGCUGGAGUGGAAUCUUCUGGUGUUCAUGGAUCUAGGGACAGUGGACUUAGUCAGGCACAGACAGGAGUUGCUGCUUGUGUUGUGCACAAAGAUUCCUACGACGGCCCUAAGAAGGAUGAGGACUUGGUUGUUGCGUCGUCUCCUCCGAAUGUUGUAUCUGAUAAGGCUGGAAAUGAAAAUGUAGAAGUUCGUCAAUCGGUGGCAUUGUUCAUGAUGAUUACAGAACCUUCAGUAGCUCAGGAAUCCCACCAUGCUGUUGCCCCUAGUCGGCAUGAAGAUUUUCAUGUUGGCAUUGAAAAACCGCUGGAGAAUGUUGUUCCUGCUGGUAGUAUUGCUACUUCUCGUGAUGUAUUGAGAGUGGAGCCUCAUGUAGCUGAAGUAUCUAAGGACAUUGCAGUUGAUCGGACUGUUGUAAAUCCAGAGAAUGCUAAUGUUGCUAUAGUAGGGCAGUCCAGUGAGGUUGUGGUGGUUACGUCGCAACCUAGCCAAGAAAAUGUUUGGGUUAGCUCUGAAGAACAACAGCAUGAAGACUCUGACAGUGAAGGAAAGUGUUUUGUUUUGAAUAGUGAAGUUGAAGUUUUUCUCAUCCAUUUUUUAAUUACUAUGACAAGUAUUUCACAUGGUGGUAGUGUAGGAAGGAGUGUGCAAUUGAUGUUCUCUUCAAAAGCCGACGAGCAUGUCGAUAAAAAAGAUAUGGUCCUAUUUGCAACAUUUGAUCCGCUAGAGACGAGGCAUGGCGUUGGUCAUUAUUGUGUAGUUGCCUUAAAUGUGAAAGAAAGGCAGUUUGAAUUUCUCGACUCGCUCAAUAAACCUGGCAGCUUUGAAGCGAACAUGAUUUUUAGGAGGAUGGUUAAAAAUAUCAAGCGUGCAUGGAAAGAAGGUAGCUCAAGUUCUGACGAGCCGCUAAUUCCUCCUACACUUGAUGGAUUUGUGUUGAAACAUGUUGUUGUCCCACUUCAGCCAAAUGGGCAUGAUUGUGGAUUCUAUAUGUUUCAAUUCUUGCAGAUUGGGACGGUGUUUGAGUGGCUCUGUUUGCGGUGGAGCACAUUGGCUACAUCAGAAAGGCCAUGCUCUAUAGUUGGCUCACAUCGACAAAGUGUUCCCUUCAGUUAUCGUCACUUUUAA